rnacentral:rRNA from 1 species
AGCGGGGGAUAACUACGCGAAAGCGUAGCUAAUACCGCAUACGCCCUACGGGGGAAAGCAGGGGAUCGCAAGACCUUGCACUAUUAGAGCGGCCGAUAUCGGAUUAGCUAGUUGGUGGGGUAACGGCUCACCAAGGCGACGAUCCGUAGCUGGUUUGAGAGGACGACCAGCCACACUGGGACUGAGACACGGCCCAGACUCCUACGGGAGGCAGCAGUGGGGAAUUUUGGACAAUGGGGGAAACCCUGAUCCAGCCAUCCCGCGUGUGCGAUGAAGGCCUUCGGGUUGUAAAGCACUUUUGGCAGGAAAGAAACGUUCCGGGUUAAUACCCCGGGAAACUGACGGUACCUGCAGAAUAAGCACCGGCUAACUACGUGCCAGCAGCCGCGGUAAUACGUAGGGUGCAAGCGUUAAUCGGAAUUACUGGGCGUAAAGCGUGCGCAGGCGGUUCGGAAAGAAAGAUGUGAAAUCCCAGAGCUUAACUUUGGAACUGCAUUUUUAACUACCGAGCUAGAGUGUGUCAGAGGGAGGUGGAAUUCCGCGUGUAGCAGUGAAAUGCGUAGAUAUGCGGAGGAACACCGAUGGC